rnacentral:rRNA from 1 species
UACGUAGGGGGCAAGCGUUGUCCGGAAUCAUUGGGCGUAAAGAGCGUGUAGGCGGUCCGGUCAGUCGGUCGUGAAAGUCAAGGGCUCAACCCUUGAAUGCCGGCCGAUACUGCCGGGCUAGAGUCCGGAAGAGGUGAGUGGAAUUCCUGGUGUAGCGGUGAAAUGCGCAGAUAUCAGGAGGAACACCGAUGGCGAAGGCGGGUCUCUGGGCAGUAACUGACGCUGAGGAGCGAAAGCGUGGGGAGCGAACAGG